GCUGGCUCUGCCAGCUAUGGCGAUAAACGCGGUCGUAAUAAGCCGAUCGGACCCGGGGGCGGUACCCGGCGCCUCCACCA
rnacentral:tmRNA from 1 species